rnacentral:rRNA from 1 species
GAUGAACGCUGGCGGCGUGCCUAAUACAUGCAAGUCGAGCGAACAGACGAGGAGCUUGCUCCUCUGACGUUAGCGGCGGACGGGUGAGUAACACGUGGAUAACCUACCUAUAAGACUGGGAUAAUUUCGGGAAACCGGAGCUAAUACCGGAUAAUAUAUUGAACCGCAUGGUUCAAUAGUGAAAGACGGUUUUGCUGUCACUUAUAGAUGGAUCCGCGCCGCAUUAGCUAGUUGGUAAGGUAACGGCUUACCAAGGCAACGAUGCGUAGCCGACCUGAGAGAGUGAUCGGCCACACUGGAACUGAGACACGGUCCAGACUCCUACGGGAGGCAGCAGUAGGGAAUCUUCCGCAAUGGGCGAAAGCCUGACGGAGCAACGCCGCGUGGGUGAUGAAGGUCUUCGGAUCGUAAAACUCUGUUAUUAGGGAAGAACAAAUGUAUAAGUAACUAUGCACGUCUUGACGGUACCUAAUCAGAAAGCCACGGCUAACUACGUG